CCGCUCAGAAGGUAGGCGUUGUUCUGGAGUGGAGCUUCCUAAUCUUCCGCUCUAUGGAGUGGGCCUAGGGCUCUCGAGGGCACCUUCUGAGGGUCACCUUGGGUGAGGUGGGCCUUGGACCCUUCUGAGGGUCACCCUGGGUUUCGAUGGAACAGAUACUCCGCUGCCCUUCUGGGAGAAACGGGCCAGCAGUGGGAAAUGGCUCUACAGCAGAGAGCUUGGAUGGCCUGGGAGGACUCUCAGCUCCUGGCCAGCCCGGGAGAGCCGCUCCUUGCGCUGCUCCUUGAGGCUGAGGAGUUCUUGGGCUUGUGUAGGUCAGCGUUGUACAGCUUGCCGUGGGAGCUCUGAGGGAGCAGGAGAAGCAGAGCCGCAGGUGAUCAGAAAAAGCCUUCGGAGACUGCAGGGAGGCUCCGUGGCAGCCUGGGACAGGGCAGUGCGUCCCACCCUGUCGGUGGGUUAAGGACCGCAUAGGUCAGGGCAGGGUCCCUCUUAGCUUCUGCCACAGGACAGUAGGAACAUCUUAAGAGAGCAGCAGUAGAUGUUUAAAGUGACAGUGCAGAUCUUGUUACUUCGUGAGACUCUAGUGACUAAAAAAUCAGCAGCCGCUCCUGCCCCAGUGUUGGCAUUGCUGGUGCUGAGUCUGCUCCCCUACAGGUGGGUGUUCUUGACUCUCUGGGUUCUUGUCCCCCACCUCCCCCAGGAGGCCAUUUUAGUAGUUAAAAAAAAAAAAAAAAAAAAGCAAGCUCACUGUUGUCCCAGCCUUGUAACCUCAUUACCCUGGGUUGUGCCAGGUGAGGACAGAGUCCACAGAG
rnacentral:lncRNA from 1 species